GCCGACUUAGCUCAGUUGGCAGAGCAUCUGUUUUGUAAACAGGAGGUCGAAGGUUCGAAUCCUUUAGUCGGCA
rnacentral:tRNA from 2 species